rnacentral:rRNA from 1 species
CCUACGGGUGGCUGCAGUAGGGAAUUUUCGGCAAUGGGGGGAACCCUGACCGAGCAACGCCGCGUGAAGGCAGAAGGAAUUCGUUCUGUAAACUUCUGUUAUAAAGGAAGAAAGACGGAUGGAGGAAAUGACAUCCGAGUGACGGUACUUUAUGAGAAAGCCACGGCUAACUACGUGCCAGCAGCCGCGGUAAUACCUAGGUGGCAAGCGUUAUCCGGAAUUACUGGGCGUAAAGAGGGAGCAGGCGGCAGCAAAGUACUGUGGUGAAAGACUGAAGCUUAACUUCAGUAAGCCAUAGUAACCGGGCAGCUAGAGUGCAGGUGAGGAUCGUGGAAUUCCAUGUGUAGCGGUGAAAUGCAUAGAUAUAUGGAGGAACACCAGUGGCGAAGGCGGUCUGCUGGACAGCAACUGACGCUGAGGCGCGAAAGCGUGGGGAGCAAACAGGAUUAGAUACCCUAGUAGUC